rnacentral:rRNA from 1 species
GUAGUCUCGCACAGAUGCAUAUCAAUAAGCGGAGGAAAAGAAACUAACUAGGAUUCCCCUAGUAACGGCGAGUGAAGCGGGAAGAGCUCAAAUUUGAAAUCUUAAAGGGUUUCCCUUUACGAAUUGUAGUUUAAAGAAGUGUUUUCUGUUGAGGUUUUGGUAAAAGUUCUUUGGAAUAGGACAUCAUAGAGGGUGAGAAUCCCGUAUUUGACCUUUACUUUCAACUUUGUGAUACACUUUCAAAGAGUCGGAUUGUUUGGGAAUGCAGUCCAAAAUGGGUGGUAAAUUUCAUCUAAAGCUAGAUAUUGGCGAGAGACCGAUAGCGAACAAGUACCGUGAGGGAAAGAUGAAAAGAACUUUGAAAAGAGAGUUAAACAGUACGUGAAAUUGUCAAAAGGGAAGCGUUUGACACCAGUGUUGUUUUUCUGAAAAUCAAUUAAAGAACUGUUUAUGCUAAGCUGUUUAGACUUUAUCAGCUAAUCUGUUUAGUUUUGAGCUUUUCUUUAAUGCACUUUUCAGUUAACAAGUCAACAUCAAUUUCUUUUGCUGUAAAAAAGCUUGAGGAAGGUGGCUUGAGAUUCGUCUUAAGUGUUUAUAGCCUCUUGCCUAUGCAGUCGGAGAGAUUGAGGUCUGCAGCGUAGAUCCUUCGGGGCUAAAUGCAUUUGUGCUAAGUUAUAAGCAUUUUAUAGACAACUUGUUGACUAUGAUUUGUCUUGUAGCUUACUCGCUUAUGUUAUUUUACCUACGCUUAGGAUGUUGACGCAUGAGAUAUACGC